rnacentral:lncRNA from 1 species
UUUAAAAUAAUUUUAUCUUGACUUCUGAAAAAUUAAAAGUGUUUUUGGAUAGUUAAAAUAAAAUUGGAAAUUAUUUCAAUAAUAAUAGACAUAAUUUAAUUUUUAACAAUAAAUUAAAAUGGAGUUUUCACAUCAGACAUGCAAUGAAUAAAGCAAAUAUAGUCCUAGCCAUGCUUAAGCAAACAUUCAAAUCUUCGAGAUCUGUUUCUGUUAGAUAGUUCAAUACCUUUGUUUGACCUCAUUUGGAAUACUGUGCAUCUAUUUGGAAUCCUUUUAUAAAAAAAAAAGACAAAAGUUCUAGAAGCCGUUCACAAAAGAGCAACUAAACACCAAUACUAAAUUUAGAUUGCAAAGUCCGUCUAACUUACCUCAAUCUACAAACUCUAGAACAAAGAAGGAAAAGAGGGGAUUUGAUUCAAUAUUUUAAAGCAGUCAAGGGGUUUAACAAAGUUAAUUGCUUUUAUAUAAAUGCCCUACCACAUUCCCUAUUAGCUCAAGGACCUGCUAGUAAUGUUAGCUGCUCUGAAUUAAGACUGUCAAGACAAUUCACAAGAAACCAAGCAAGAUUUAAUUUCUUUACAAAAGGAUUAUACUAUUAUCUAACUAGUUACCUAAGCUAGUUAUUAAUUCAAGAUGCAUCAAUGAAUUCAAAAAUCAAUAUGAAAAUUUCAUUGUUGUCAAACAGGUAUCUGCUAAUGUUAGCUAGACGAACUAUAUGAGAAAUUUAGUUUUUUCCAAAAUAAAAUAAAGUAUCAAAAAAUAUAAGACUAAGUAUCAAAGAAGUUACUGGAGUAACUUCAGGAUGUUUUAGGUAUAAACUCUUCAAAAUAAUCUCAAGUGUUGAAUGAACAACUUUUCUAUACCUGUAUGCAUGUGUAUAUGUAAAUAUUUUCUAAGAAUUUAAUGGCCAUUUAUAUUGUUAAAAAAGAUCCAAUUUUUAAGUACUAAUAUAAUGAUAAUAAAUAAAGUAAAGAAAAGAAUUGUUAACUGUUAUACGUUAACAGUAUAAUGUUGGUUAUACUUUUAAAACAUCACUUUAAUAUUACAAGUAUAAUUUAUUUGUUAAUUUAUAUUUAAUAUUUAUCUACUGAGAUUUUUUGAAUUAGAUUUUGGUUAUGAAGUAUUGAACAUGUUCAAGUUAAGGUUAUUAUGAACAUGAAACUUCAAGUUAAGGUUAUUAAGAACAUGAAACUUCAAGUUAAGGUUAUUAAGAACAUGAAACUUCAAGGUUAUUAAGAACAUGAAACUUCAAGUUAAGGUUAUUAAGAACAUGAAACUUCAAGUUAAGGUUAUUAAGAACAUGAAACCUCAAGGUUAUUAAGAACAUGAAGCUUCAAGUUAAGGUUAUUAAGAACAUGAAACUUCAAGGUUAUUAAGAACAUGAAACUUCAAAGUUAUUAAGAACAUGAAACUUCAAGGUUAUUAAGAACAUGAAACUUCAAAGUUAUUAAGAACAUGAAACUUCAAGGUUCUUAAGAUUCGAUCUUAUUUUGAUCUAUUAUAAGCAAAAGUAAAAUUUUAAGAAAAUUUAUUUUUAAUAUGCAUAUGUAGGUUAAUUUAGGUUAUUAUGUAAAACUUUAUUCAUUAAUAAUUAUGUUUUUCAUUUUCAGAAAAUGUUUGAGAACAGUAAAAUUCUGGUAUUGAACGAAUCAAGGUGGUUAAUUUCAUAAACUUAAGAUGCAAAUGAUGGUGUAAAAAGCAAAAGAGCAAAAAUUAUUUUGAAUAUUUAUCUUGAAUGUAUUUAUUUAUAGCAAUUAUUUAGAAAUAAAUUCAUUUUUCAA